rnacentral:sRNA from 1 species
GCAUCGUGCGCCUGCUGCGGGGAGAUGUAGUGCACGUGGGCAUCCAUGGCGCCGGCGGUGGCGAUCAUGUGCUCACCGGCGAUGAUCUCGGUGCCCGGACCGACCAGCAGCUUCGGGUCGACACCGUCCUGUAGUUGCGGGUUGCCCGAUUUGCCGACGCCGGCGAUGAGGCCGUCCUUGAUCCCGAUGUCCGCCUUGAUAAUGCCCAGGAUGGGGUCCAUCACGAUGACGUUGGUGAUCAGCAGGUCGAGGGCACCUUUGCUCUGGCUGGCGCGGGGGUCCUGGGCCAUCCCGUCGCGCGC